rnacentral:rRNA from 1 species
AUACGGAGGGUGCAAGCGUUAAUCGGAAUUACUGGGCGUAAAGGGUGCGCAGGUGGUUUAUUAAGUUAAAUGUGAAAUCCCCGGGCUCAACCUGGGUUGGUCAUUUAAAACUGAUAGACUUGAGUAUAGGAGAGGGCAGUGGAAUUUCCGGUGUAGCGGUGAAAUGCGUAGAUAUCGGAAGGAACACCGGUGGCGAAGGCGACUGCCUGGCCUAAUACUGACACUGAGGCACGAAAGCGUGGGUAGCAAACAGGAUUAGAAACCCCAGUAGUCC